UACGAAGGGGGCAAGCGUUGUUCGGAAUUACUGGGCGUAAAGGGCGCGUAGGCGGUCCGCUAAGUUCGGCGUGAAAUCCCCUGGCUCAACUGGGGAACGGCGCUGGAUACUGGUGGACUCGAGUACCGGAGAGGAGAGUGGAAUUCCUGGUGUAGCGGUGAAAUGCGUAGAUAUCAGGAGGAACACCGGUGGCGAAGGCGGCUCUCUGGACGGAUACUGACGCUGAGGCGCGAAAGCGUGGGGAUCAAACAGG
rnacentral:rRNA from 1 species